GAGAAGAAAGAAAGCUGCGGAGUCGCAGAAUUUCUUAUGUAAAAGUUCAGUGGAGCAACCAUGCUGUGCGAGAAGCCACUUGGGUGCUCGAGGAGGCGAUGUGGAGAGAGUAUCCGCGUUUAUUCGAGUCGACAAGUUAAGGUACGGUUAAUUUCACGGACGAAAUUAUUUUAAGGGGUGGAGAAUGUGAUAUACCAAAAUUUCGGUAAAUAAAUAUCGAACUUUAGUCAAAUUGACCAAAGUACGAGAUUGCUAUGCUUCGGAAAGGCCGAAGGCGUUAAAAUG
rnacentral:lncRNA from 1 species